rnacentral:misc_RNA from 1 species
AGCAGCCGCGGUAAUUCCAGCUCCAAUAGCGUAUAUUAAAGUUGUUGCAGUUAAAAAGCUCGUAGUUGAAUUUCGGGAUCAGUUGAUCGGUCGUGCCUCGGUACGUACUGGUCAAAUUGAUUCCUACCUUCUGACGAACCACGAUGUCAUUAAUUUGGUGUCGUGGGAAAUCAGGACUGUUACUUUGAAAAAUUAGAGUGUUUAAAGCAGGCUCGCGCUUGAAUACAUUAGCAUGGAAUAAUGAAAUAGGACGUUUGAUUCUAUUUUGUUGGUUUCUAGGAUCGACGUAAUGAUUAAUAGGGAUAGUUGGGGGCAUUAGUAUUCAAUUGUCAGAGGUGAAAUUCUUGGAUUUAUUGAAGACUAACUACUGCGAAAGCAUUUGCCAAGGAUGUUUUCAUUAAUCAAGAACGAAAGUUAGGGGAUCGAAGACGAUCAGAUACCGUCGUAGUCUUAACCAUAAACUAUGCCGACUAGGGAUCGGAUGAUGUUAAUUUUUAAUGACUCAUUCGGCGCCUUACGG